CAGGUCAUGUUGCAGAGGAAGCGACCCGAAAAGGCCCGCACCAGCUGGAAGAGCAGCUCGAUCUCAGAGUAGUUACGCCUGAGGAGUCAGAACCAGAACCAGGUCAGAACCAGGUCAGAACCAGGUCAGAACCAGGUCAUGUUGCAGAGGAAGCGACCCGAGAAGGCCCGCACCAGCUGGAAGAGCAGCUCGAUCUCAGAGUAGUUACGCCUGAGGAGAGGAGUCAGAACCAGAACCAGGUCAGAACCCGG